rnacentral:rRNA from 1 species
UACAGAGGUCUCAAGCGUUGUUCGGAAUUACUGGGCGUAAAGGGUGCGUAGGCUGCGCAGAAAGUCAGAUGUGAAAUCCAGGAGCUCAACUUCUGAAUGCAUCCGAUACUCCUGUGCUAGAGGACUGGAGAGGAGCUUGGAAUUCUCGGUGUAGCAGUGAAAUGCGUAGAGAUCGAGAGGAACACUAGUGGCGAAGGCUGGGCUCUGGACAGUAUCUGACGCUGAGGCACGAAGGUCAGGGGAGCAAACGGGG